ACUGCUCAGUAACACGUGGGUAACCUGCCUUACACAGGGGGAUAGCCUUCCGAAAGGAAGAUUAAUACCGCAUAAGAAGUAGAUAUCGCAUGGUAUCAGCUUUAAAGGAGUAAUCCGGUGUAAGAUGGACCCGCGGCGCAUUAGCUAGUUGGUGAGGUAAUGGCUCACCAAGGCGACGAUGCGUAGCCGACCUGAGAGGGUGAUCGGCCACAUUGGAACUGAGAGACGGUCCAGACUCCUACGGGAGGCAGCAGUGGGGAAUAUUGCACAAUGGAGGAAACUCUGAUGCAGCAACGCCGCGUGAGUGACGAAGGCCUUCGGGUUGUAAAGCUCUGUCAUCUGGGACGAUAAUGACGGUACCAGAGGAGGAAGCCACGGCUAACUACGUGCCAGCAGCCGCGGUAAUACGUAGGUGGCGAGCAUUGUCCGGAAUUACUGGGCGUAAAGGAUGCGUAGGUGGGAAUUUAAGUCAGAUGUGAAAUACCCGAGCUUAACUUGGGCACUGCAUUUGAAACUGAAUUUCUUGAGUGCAGGAGAGGAAAGCGGAAUUCCUAGUGUAGCGGUGAAAUGCGUAGAGAUUAGGAAGAACACCAGUGGCGAAGGCGGCUUUCUGGACUGUAACUGACACUGAGGCAUGAAAGCGUGGGGAGCAAACAGGAUUAGAUACCCUGGUAGUCCACGCUGUAAACGAUGGGUACUAGGUGUGGGAGGUAUCGACUCCUUCCGUGCCGCAGUUAACACAAUAAGUACCCCGCCUGGGGAGUACGAUCGCAAGAUUAAAACUCAAAGGAAUUGGCGGGGGAGCAC
rnacentral:rRNA from 1 species